rnacentral:rRNA from 1 species
UGGGCAACCUGCCCUCAGCUCUGGGAUAACUCCAAGAAAUUGGGGCUAAUACCGGAUAUGACUGCUGACCGCAUGGUCUGGUGGUGGAAAGAUUUAUCGGCUGGGGAUGGGCCCGCGGCCUAUCAGCUUGUUGGUGGGGUAGUGGCCUACCAAGGCGACGACGGGUAGCUGGUCCGAGAGGAUGACCAGCCACAUUGGGACUGAGACACGGCCCAGACCUCCGUACGGGA